GCUGAACCAGGGUGUGGGAAGCCCCCGCUGUGUAACAAGCCCCGUGCCAGGCACUGGCGAUUGGCGACCCAGCCCGGGACGAAACCCAUCACCUUCACGUGGGAAAUCUGACUCCUGAAACUUCAAGCCUGCCCGGGGUCAAAGCAGCCCUGGAAGCCUGAGCUCCCACCGCAGUGGCCGUGACUUCCAAGUUUGUAUCACGGAAGGCAUCCCAGCACCUCUCUCGGAUCGCUGCCGGCCUGUGGGCAGUGUCCUGCGGCUGCUGCGCAUAUGGCAGAGGUGGGUUGGAUUCUGGGCUCCAUGGACCCCCCCCAAUCACGUCACUUCAGACGAGGGAUGUGACCAUUCAGCAUCUCCAACCCAUCAUCAGUGGAGUGACCACAGUAUUGUUGACCUCCCCAGACGUUUUGUGACUGUCCUACGACAUUUUACAAAAAUGCAAAUUCAUGAAAUCCAAGCCACCUCAUAUUUCACUUUUGAAACAGGAAGGGUAGAUCCGGUGUCUGUCGCAGACAUCUGUGGCUUCCAAAGCCCUGGAGGAUUUUGCUGUCAAUCCCAUUGCUGACUGGUGUAUUUCAGAAAUAUCUCAAAUAUCCCCAACAUGACGAAGCUCCAGUCCUACCACCAAAGUUUACUUGUUCUACUGAGAGUAGCCUGUUAAAUUCACAAAAAUGAAAAAAGUUAAGACUAAGAAAUAAAAACA
rnacentral:lncRNA from 1 species